GGCAGAGCGCGGUGGUGGUCGCCGCUGCCUUCCCGGCCCGCUGUCUCCGCCUUCCCCGAGCCAAGGCGAUGGUGAAGCUCUCCGCCAAGUGCCUGCUGGCAGGUGAUCCAGCUGUGGGGAAGAGUGCUUUAGCCCAGAUGUUCCGCAGUGAUGGGGCUAAUUUUCAGAAGAACUAUACAUUGACAACGGGCAUUGAACUGUUGGUGAAGGCUAUAUCAGUUCCAGAGACAAGUGAUAGUGUGUGUUCCUGGCAAGAGCCUUCUUUCUGCUUCUGCUUUCAGGAAUUCUUCAUUUUUGACUCUGCAGGCAAAGAUCUAUUUUCUGAGAUGCUGGAGAAACUGUGGGAGCAACCAAAUGUCCUGUGCCUUGUGUAUGAUGUCACUAAUGAGCAAUCUUUCAACAACUGUGCCAAGUGGCUGGAAAAGCUGAGGGCACAAGCAGUUGGAAUGCACAUCCCAGGUGUCUUAGUGGGGAAUAAAACAGAUCUGGUUGGUCGUCGAGUUGUGGAACAGAAACAAGCACAGGAAUGGGCUGACAAACAUGGCCUGGAAUACUGUGAGAUGUCAGUAAAGGAGAUGAAAAAUUUUGAGGCCCCUUUCAACAUCCUGGCAAAGUCAUUCUACCAACUGUACAAAGAAAAAGUGGAAACUUUUCACUCACUAGCUUGAGGGCCGUGACUGGAAUGACUUAACUUCAGAGCUUCUUCUAGUGCCCAGAAUCCUAUGGACUGGAAUACAGAGAGAGGAAAAAAGAUGAGCUUUUUGCUUCUGCACAGUCAUCUUCUGGUAAUUCAAAAUAAACUAGAAAUAAGGCUCACUGCCAAUGCACAAAGACCCAGUGGACCUGGGAAUGUAAAUGCCACUGUUCUAGUGCAGGGUGUUUCCUGCUUGCUGAACUACAAUGUACCUGAGCAUCUGCAACCUGUGGACUGCCUAUUUCCAGUGUACCUGCUUGACUGCUAGGAGCUGUUUAUGAUGGCAGGGAAUAACAAGCCUGAAAUUCCAUGUUCCUGCCUCUGAGCUUUCUUCUCCUAUGUGCAUCCCUCUGACCCCUGCAUGGAAUGGGGAAGAUGGUAGAGAAAUGCCUGACCGUGCCCUCUUCCAGACCUGCUCACCAGGUCAGAGCUGGCAACAACAGAGCAAAGAAAUCAGUGGAGAACCAAGGAGGACUGUACCCGCAAGCCCUUGGAGACAUUUGGCCAGCCUCUGCUGAGGAUGGUGCUGCAGAGGAGCCUCAUACCACCAGCAGAGAGAUGUCACCAAGGCUCUGAGACUGGUUUGGUCAAGCUGGAAGAACCAAGUGCUCUCCCUGGCACUGCUGGGAGUUGAUUUGCUCUGCAUAAGAGUCCUCACCUGCCAUGAUUUUCCACAGACUGUAAACUCUGCUCUCAGACCUUUUCCAGAAAAUAUCACAAGUGGCUACUAGCUGCAGUGAAUGAUUGAAAGUGGCAAAUCCUGAUGAGUAACUUCUGAUUUCAUUUCUAUUAAAAAAAUUUUGUUGAUAUAAGAGUCGUCUGUUAAGAUGACAUUUAGAUAUCAAAACAGACAUUCAGAUUUUCAGAGUCAUUUGGAGCUUCUUCAUGUCUGUAAAAUCAAUGUGAGAUGCUGACUGCUCAGCAUAACUGGAAAUCAAGACAGUUCUUCAAUGUCUAAACAUGGGGUUAGAAGCUUAAAUACACGUGUUUUGCUUUCUUUUUAAAAUAGGCCCCCAUUCCCAAGAAAGGGAAUGUCACCUCUACAGCUUCUGUUCAUGUACACUUUUCUGUGCAUCGCUAUAAUGCUGUGGUCUAGCAUCUGACUGUCUUAACUCAAUGUGUUUAACCUAAUUCCCCUAUAGGAAUUCACUCUCAGGACCCUAAACAAUUAUGAAAGUAAUACAAAACCAAAUCCUAGGAAUUCAUUUGAUGGCUCUGUGGCCAAAAUACACCGUCUGGCUUUCACUGAAACAGUGUCUGAAGUACAUGUACAUUUCAUGAGAUGUCUCCCUGAUGAUAAGAUGCUACAAAAAGAAAUCCUUCUCAUUUUAAAAUUAGUUGCCUGUUAUCACUGAUGUCAGUGGGACUCGGUGAUUAUGAAUUUUCUAAGAUUCUCUACUUGCUGGGCUGUCAAUUAGGUGCUGGGAUACAUGUUUCUCUUGAUUUGUCCCUCUGAAAAGUCAGAUGGAUGAUAUGAUCUAUCCCAGAGGCUAACCAUUUUUCUUAAUUUGCUUAGGAUGUUCUUUCAAGAGACUUCUUUAAUUCUGGUGGGGGUUUUUUUGUUUGUUUGUUCGUUUGUUUUCACUGAGCAUCAGAGAAAUUAAAAGUUCCUUAUUUCUUCUGUGAUACCCUAAGCUAUGUGACAGAAGAAGAGCUAAGGAUGCCCUGAAGAAGACAAUUGGUUAUAUAGUUUCUUUGCAGAAGGAUUACCUGUAUCAUUAUCUCCAGACCUAGAAGAGCAAGUUUGUCCCAUACAGAAAGUCUCAGCAAUGCCUUGGUGGCUGUUGAGGACCAGAGGAAAAGCUGGUGUUCAGACUGGACCGUGGCUUUAAAUUAUAAUACUGAAUAGAUGAGACUGCACAGGAUCCUCUUUGUCCUCAUCUGCGCCCUUUACACUGGAGGAAAGUCUGAUGUCGGAGAACACUGAUCAAGGUCAACAUGAAGCAUCCUCACUGUAGGCCUCACCUUUCCUCCAGCAUUUAUCACUGUGCUGAUAUUUCCAGGAAGCUUCCAAAAACCUUCAAUUCAGAAAGAAAAGAAGCCCAACAACUUCUCUUUCUCACCUUAUUCUUUACAGUUCUCUGAUUACUCCUAUGUUUACAUGAAAACAGGGUUUUUUCUUCUUUAAGAGUCAAACUGCAGCUGCUGCAUAUUUCUUCCCUGAAAUUUUAUAUACCUAUUUGUCAGGAAAUCAUGGCUUUUUUAACCCAUAGAUACUUAGCAAUAGAGACCAUCCCUGAUCAUGAGAGGUAGAUCUGGUGUGAGUUCUGGCUAUAGUUAAUUGAUGGAUGGGCAACGGAUUUAUUAUGAACAAGACCAAGUUAUUUGUGCCCGUAUUUCAUGUAGUUCCAGUGAGACGCAUUGCUCUGUGGUCUAUUCUGAAGACCUUUUCCCUUGUGUCUUGACUUUAAGCAGAUUCUGAUCACAAAGCCUGUGCUAUAUUCUUUUUACUAACUUUUUGUGAGGAAUGUGUGACUCAGCUUGGGUUUUUUCCUCCUCUUAUUUGUAUCCUUUAGCUCUGCUUUUUAGGCAUUUGUUUAUUCAGUUAUCAAGGCUCUGUACCUCUUUACCCUGUUUCCUGGAAUGUGCCUCCAUGACUGGAUUUAUAUGGAUGUCUGUGAGAACAGUGUAUGCCUGAUUUUGCAUAUGGAUGGAAAAGCAAAAACAAAACAAAACAAAAAAAGAUUCAGAUGAAGAAUCUGAGGAUUCAGCAACAGAAUAGGAAUGGCAUACGAAUAAGCAGGUAUUAAACUGGAUUUCUAUGGGACUUAGUUUAUCAAGGAGUAAGGAUGUGUAGAGGAAUGCAUUUAUUUACACACAGGAUAGACCAGCGUGAAGGUAGAGUUGAAUUAUAUAUCAAGUGCAUAGUAAUGUACACUCUGGAGUGGAAAAUUAUGAGGGACAUCAUCUGAGUGAAGAGGGUAGUGUCUUUAGUUUAACACAGGCAAAUACAUGGAAUAGACAUUCUGAUAAGGUGGGGAAUUUUCCUGUAACUAAUUGUCUGUUUUGGUCAUAUUCAGUAAGUUUGCAUGUGUAUGCAUAUAAAUCCUCACUGAGGAUACUCUACCAAAUGCUGUAAUUCCAGCUAGAGUGAUUGGUUAGCAGCUGCCCUCUGUUACAGUUAAUGGGUUGCAGGCAUUGAUUCUUUUUUUUUCUCUAUUCCUAUUGAUUAGGAGGCUGCUGUCCACACAAACCUCAGCACAGCAUGUAAAGGGGAAGAGAGGCAAAACAGUUCUCAUCCCAGCAAUUCAUCAUGGCAGAAAUGUCAUGCUGGGAGUCCCAAUCUUCUCUCACUAUCCCUUUCAAGUAGAGAAGGACACCUUUCCCUUUUUGAAGAAUUCAGUUCAUAAGGCAUGAGAUGACUUCUUUUUCUUCUUGCCGUUUGAGGUAGCAAACAUUUCAGAGGUUGCCAUUCAGUGGAAAAAAACACUGUGUGACACAAGGGAGUGUUGCACUGGAAGAACUGGUGCUUUAGCUUCAAGACUCAAUGUGCAACAAAUUUCUUGGAUAACCAUUGAUACUCAAUUCAUUUAUGACAAUACUUGGAUCUCACUAACAUCAGUGCAUAGACUUUGGCUUUGGUGGGGUUUGUGAUUUCAGUGCCUCAGUGCCUCCACAAAGUGAUUUAAGUGUUGCAUUGUAAGAGUGUUUUAUGGGUAAAUGACUUUUUUUUUUCCAAAGUGUUUGUCUUAGACAAGGAUAUAUGUCAGAAACGGAGGGAGUUACGUACUACAGCCUUAUAUUCUCACACUUGGUCCACUAGUUUCUAAUGUAGCUUUUUUAUGCACUCUUGGGAUAGCCCCAGCAUCACUUUUGCACAGAGACUUCCUCAGUUUAUUUGUGAGACCUCUGUACCAUGUCUCCGCUCUUUUUUUUUCCUUUCUGAUCAUAGUGUUAUGCUAGAGAUGAAUUUCAUAUAGUAUUCAAAUAUUUGAUGUUUACACUGUCUUUUAUGUUGAUCCUCAAGUUAAAAGACCUGAAGUUAAGGAGAGAGGACCACUGAGGAUUUGUACACUUGUAUUUAUCUCUCUAUCAUCUCCACACGUGAUUCUCAGACAAAACACAAAUUUUCUUCUUUCUUCAGUUUGCUAGUUGGUUAAACUGGUCUAAGAAAACCACCAGCAUGCAGAUAUGAUGUAAAUAAUGUUUCUUACGUAUUUUGGGUUCCCCAGCUUUGGAUGCCAGUGAUGACUGCUCUGAUCACCCUCUCUGCUUGUCUAAACACACGGAUAUAUGGGGUUUUUUUCAACCUUCUCCAGUGAAACUUCUUAAAUAUUAAUUCCUUUUCUGGAUCAUAUCUCACUUCUAUCUUUCUGCCCCAUUGGUUUUCAGUUCUAUAAUCAUCACUCUAACCCCAAUUUAUUUUUCCUAACAUCUCCUCUGCUGGUGCAGUUGUCUAUUAACACCUCUGCUCUGCCUGCAAAUACAACUGCAUCAACUCCAUCUCUUUUACAUCUCAUUACAGCAGCUCCUUCUGAGAUGGCCUGCCCAGUAUGAAGAUUCCUAGAUACCAAAUCACUGUCUGAUUUUAUCCUGAGCCAAAAAUCUCCAUUGCAGCACUCGAUCCAGAGAUACUUUAUUCAGCUCCAUUACCAUCCCAUAGUGUUGCUUCCGACUUCAUGCCCUUCAUCUCCCUUCCUGUAUCUUUCUCAUGCCCCUUUCUUUCCUACAGCACUGCCCCUUCUCUCCACAAAUAGCAGCACUCUUGGUUUGCCAUUGGAAGCAGACUUCCUGCGGCUCCUUGUCUCAUCAGCUUCUCAUUUCAAGUAAUUUAAAAUGUAAUUUAAAAUCUCUCUAUUUCCUCCAGACUAUUAAUUUCUCUCUCCUUACUCUUCUAUAGCUGUCAUUCUGUGUUGCGCUAUUCAGUAAGAUGCGACUGUUGUAAAAUUCUGCCACAGUGUUUUUAAUCUGUAUUCUUGUUUUGUAUUAUCAUUUUUAACGAUUCUUUGUAGGAAAGAUGAAAUCUCAGCACAGCAUCUAGCCACAGCACAAGCAGUCACAUAGGACAUUCUGGCAUUUGCAUUGCCUUUGUUCCGUUCUUCUCCAGCGGCAUUUAGAACUACUGUAGAGGGAUUAUUGUGAAUGGUUUAAGAGGAUAUAAGUAGGGUAGCAGGAAGAGAAUUAUUUCUGAAAAUUGGGAAGUGUGAGGCAGGAAGUCACCUUUAGUCCUGAUCCUGAGACAUAAUGAACCAUCACAGGACCCACUGCUCUUAGCCAGAGAUUAAAGGACUCAUUGUUCUGCAGGCCUGGCCUUCUUACACUGGCAGUUUCUUUGGAGAGAAUGCAUUCCUGUCCUGUUGCUGGAGUCAUUUGAAAUCAAACUUGUAAAAUCUGCAGAAAUACAUAAUAAAGGCAACAGUUACAGAUUAGUUUGAGGGCCUCUGUUUUGGCCCAUCUUCUGCUUCAUCCUCUGAAAUUGUCUGAAUUAGUCUAAUGUAAGGAUAAGUAAUCCAGCAGUUCCAGCAGUAUUUUUCUAGUUACAGAUGAAAUCUGUGAUUUUUGUCUGUGCUGGGAUGCCUUGCGAGUCCCAGUCCACAACUUCCGCAGUGGCUGUUCGCUCACUCUACUUGUCUCGCUCUACUCAGUUACCAACAGAAGCUACCAAAAGACAGCUCCCAUUUGCACAGCCCCACAUGCCCUGAUCUGAAGGGGCAUUCCGAUUUGUCACAGUAAAAUAAGCAUUUAACAGCAUGGGUGCCCAAGGGAGCCCUCAGUGAAAAUACACCUUCUCUCCCUGUCCUUUUUGGAUGACCCUGCUGUUUGAGCACAAGUGAGGUUCCGUAAGGCCUGAGUCCUUUCUGCUUCCCCUCGCUCCAGCCAGGUUACUCUGUGACAUUUCUGGGAGAGCUGUACUGCACUAUUUUGAGAGCACUAAGUAACUGAAGAGCCCACUUUGCUUGGACAAAUUUCCAGUGUGUCUUUCCCUUAUGCUUCCUUCUUUCAUCAGAAAGCAUUCAGGAGCAGAGAAGUCCUAGAGUGAUCUUGUGUAGCUUCCCUUGCUAAAAGCCUUGCAGAACCUCCUCCUCAUCACAAGCCACUUCUGUAGAGCUGUAAUCUCCCACCAUCUUAGGGGGAUUCUCUGUAUCUCUCCACCCUUCAUUUGAACCAAGGCCAACAGUUCAGAGGGCCUGCCCACAGCUACCCUGCUCACCACUAUUCCACCAGGCUGAAAUGCACAGCCCACAAGGGCCACCUCCUCCCUUGCCCAUCCUCAGCUGUUUGGCAGCUCCAUGAGUGCAGAGAAGAAGAAAAAAAAAAAAAAAAAGAAAAAAAACCCAGUUUUUCCAAGAGAGAAGAAGGCCAGGACCCCUCCCCCACCCUUCCCCCCCCAGAUGAGGCUACAAACUGUGCUUGUCCCCCAGCAAUGUAUUAGUGGGCCCAACCUGCAUUGUCACCUGCCUCAUCCCCCAUCCCUUCUGCCUCCCCAGGACCUGCUGGUAGCAAUCUGCAUAUGGCUGAUGCCACACACCAUCCGUGCUUGCUGGUAAACACCCCACAAUGUUCUCAGCUCCCUGCUGAACAGAGGAAAUGCUCAGCUGCCUUUUGUGCCCCCUCCUCUCCUGCUGCUUGCCAUAGAGCCCUUCAUGUCCAACAGUCCUGGGGGAGAUUGUCCUGAAAUGGCAGUCCCAGGCUGCACCCAGAGAAGGACAAUGAAGGAGAGAAAUGGAGUUAUGAAAUUACAAUGUGGCCAAAGCCCUCCGACUGGUUCAACUACCCGGCACCCCCUCCCCUCAGCCCCUUAAUUCCCCUAGAAGAGCAGUGAACCUAAUGCAGCCCUUCUGGUCUCUCAUUCACCGAACAAUGAAUCUGAUCAGAGUGAAACAAAAUCGGAGGCAUCAUGAAUUAGAUGAUUUCUUUUCUUUUUGAUUGCUGCAUUAAUGAGCAGCUACACGUAUAGAACGAGGAGGUGACUAAUGUAAUUAACCUGAUGUAAUGAUACUGCUGAGGAAGGGAGAGACAGUUAUGACAUACGAAGAUGUUAGCAUUGCACAAUUUUAUAUACGUUCUCAGUACUAUCAGGUUGUGUCUGACACAAAAACUUAAGCACUGAUAGAUUUCAGUCUGCAUCCAUUCACCUCAUGCAUCUUUCUGUGGAAAAAGAGGAUUGGAAGGUGGGAUAUUUUCUGGGGCUGGGGGAGAGAAAUUCAGUUUGGUGGUCCCUUUCCUUAGCAAAAUCACAGUAAUAACAAGAAAUCGACCUUUCUUGUGAAGAAUCUUCCCAAAAUGUCUGCUUCUUGAAGCAAGCUAUGGGAUUUCACAGAAAGCUAUGAAGAGAAAGUCAAAACGCAGGGAUUCACACAACAUUGGUCAGGGGGAGACAGAGGGACGGAAAACGAGCAACACCAAAACAUAUGCAACUUGCAGCAAAGCUGAGAAGAGUGAGAAGCGAGCACUUAAAAAUAAUAACGGCAACAAAAAUAAGAGAAAUAAAUGCUUAUUUUUAAAUUA